rnacentral:rRNA from 1 species
GACGAACGCUGGCGGCAUGCCUAAGACAUGCAAGUCGAACGAACAAAUUGGUGCUUGCACCAAUGAGUUAGUGGCGAACGGGUGAGUAACACGUAGGUAACCUACCUUAAAGACGGGGACAACAGUUGGAAACGACUGCUAAUACCGGAUAGGUAAUAGAAUCGCAUGAUUCUAUUAUUAAAGGAGCUUCGGCUUCACUUUAAGAUGGACCUGCGCCGUAUUAGCUAGUUGGUGAGGUAAUGGCUCACCAAGGCAACGAUGCGUAGCCGAGCUGAGAGGCUGAUCGGCCACACUGGAACUGAGACACGGUCCAG